GUGAAGGUCGCUUAUAAACGAUCGCGUUAAGUUCAAUUCCUAGCAUGAGUGACAUGAUGUCAUAGUUGCAAGUGUUUUGUCAAUGCUUAUGAUUUUCAUUAAACGUAAUGAUUUUUUAUUGUAUCUCUAUUAUGAUGUCAUGUAAGGAACUUUAGAAGAAUGUUUUGGGUUGUCGAAUGAUGUCAUCCAAUCCAAUAAAACAAGGAAAAUCUGAGAGUUAACUAGUGAUGUCAUGGUUAAUUUGGAGCAUUGUCGUUCACAAUUUAAUGAAGUAGUAACUGGAAAUCAAGUUAUUUGCAUACAUGUCAUAUGUGGAGAAAAGGCCUCUAGCUAUCUCAUCCAUCAUCUUAUUUCUCACAUUCGUUUUACAAUCCGUCUAGUUUUUCAUACUUGUUUGUUUGUUUCAACUUCAUCCAAAUCAAAACCCCCCUUUUAGUUUCUUGUUUCAAAGUGUUUCAAAUCUGUUUUAGUUUGUGUUUUUAAGUGUUUUGAUUUAAGUAAAAGUCAAUUUUCGUCCAAAGUCAUUCCAAGUGUCUAGUUUAAGUUUAUUUGGUUGUUUUAAACUGUUUUGAGUAUUUUAAGUUGGCUUUGAGUCUUGUGAGUCUUGUUAAGUGUUUUUAAGUUUAGUUUUAUGUUUUUGAGUCAGUUUAGAGGUUAUUAGCAAGCCUUCCUAAUCCCCGGUCCAGAACGAUCCCUACUUAUACUUGUACUACAAUUGUCAAAAGAGGGUUAAAUUUGUGUGUUAAGAUAAUUUUCGCAUCAAACCUAUCGGAUGAGAAAUUAAACAGAAGAAAAAUCAAAAGUUUCUUAACUGAACAUGAUCAUGAAUGGGUAAUAGGUUGCUGAUACAAAGAAAAAAAGAUAGAUUUUAUCUGCACAUCACCAUAAGAAAGAAAACGAUCACAAAAUACAUUUUUUCUUGGCAACUUUGUGGAACAGAAAGAAGCAGGAUACAUAAGGGGCAAAACAAUCUUCUUACUACUACAUCAAAGCAAAAGAACAACCAUUAUAUUAGUAUGCCAUUAUCAUCUGGGGAACAAAUCCAAUUGGCAGCUUUUACGUACCUACAAUUAUAAGCAAAGUUUGGAAUUCAUAGAAAAUACUGGGCAAAUACUAAGGCUACCAUUUGAAAAAGCUAAACAACAAUAAACUUUGACAAAUUAACUACAAUUAAAUUAAGAUGACAAUCAAUAUAUGAAGACAGUCUGAGAAAUCAAAGGCUCUCAAAUCAAUACCAUAUUUCAUGUGCCUUUUACUGAUAGUGAACCCAGCAGCCGAACCAGGAUAAAAAUUUGAUUUAGAACCUUGCUAUCUUUGUCCUUGUAAAUAUGAUAUUUUGGCAUCAGCAAUAUAUCACAAUAUAUAUAUAUAUAUAUAUAUUUAUCUGAACUCAAAGAAAAUAUAGAACGAACAUAAAAAAGGCAUAUUAUGAACGUUUAGAAGCAAAUUUCAUUAGCAAUUAAAGCAACCAAGCUCUCUCAACAUCACGAUUUAGAACCCCCCAGGAACCCAGAAAUUUAAUGAAAAUUUUUCUAAUCAUUCAAUUGGAUUAGACAAAACCAUGAAUUUUUUUCUUUCUAAAGCCCAAUUAUAUUAAAUCACAAAUUUGAAGCAGAUUUUGACAUGCAAUAAGUUAUUAAGAUAGGAAUCGCUUCAGACUAACCUCGAUGGCAGGGCCUCCGGAAUUGCCCGAUCCA
rnacentral:lncRNA from 1 species